UUUUCUCUCAGAAUUUUAAUGUGUAGCAUACCUGUUACGAUUCCUAUGCAUGAGCUGUGAUGGCAUCAGUUACAACUAGAUCUAAAAUUGAAGGCAAUUUAUCACCAUGAUUGCGUUUGGGAAUUUUCUUCAUUUUCUCUGUUCCACGUUAUAAUUGAAGCUGUCAUUUCUUUUUCUUCUGAUUGAAUCCCAGUGGUUGUACUACUGAUAACUGAGAACUCCAAGUGGAACGUACCCAUUUCAUCAUGACGCGUAUUAGUGGCUUCCAGUUCACAGUGCUAGAGCACGCGAGAUGCAUAUUGCAUCAAGAGAUCGCACUGGAAGACUUUAGGUAUAAAGUUUAAUAUUAACAGCUUAUGUGUUGCUAAGAUCUGAGCAACCUAAUUGAGGGAAUCCUUUUAAUUUUUAGUCUUCUUAGUAUCACGAUUACAUAUUUCAAUCCUAAAUUUCUUUGGUGACCCAUAAUCUGUCAUAUAACAAAAAUCUUUCUUUCCAGUUUCUGUACCCAAAGGAAACAUUAUGUGUAGAAUUUGUGCACUUCCAUUACCAUUUGUCAUGGACUAACAAAUGAUGUUGGUCGGCAACAUUUGUGUUAUUGCAUGGUCCGUAGUCUUUUAAUCCUAUAUAGGUACAAUAGGUGAAUACACAAUCUUGCUAUUGAACAAAGAGACCAGCAAAUUCCCAUGGGUGUUCACCGGACUUGACACCCAGACAUAACGAAAAUUUGUUAUAAUGAGAGGCACGCACUGAUCAGAGGUGCAACUUUUCCAGCCGGAGUUCACAAAGGCUUUCUUAUUUUUGUUAUUGAGAUCGUAGCCUUUGUACUAAUUCAAUUCCAGAGACUUUACUCUGUCUUUGUGCCAUAUAUUGAGCUUUUAGCGAAGAAGUUAUGACGCUUACAUUAGACUCUACGGUUGCUGCACUAUAUUAAUCGUACCCGGAUAUUUGCGAAGAAGUUAUUCAGCUAGUACAAACAUGUCAUCGACGGCUUCCAGGCAGCAUAAGGUACUGGAAAAUUGACGAUCAUGAAAGGGCUAGAAGAAAAAAGCUGCGGAGGUGGGAGCAACUUUUACCGGCAUCGGGUAAGAUUUUGAGGACGACUACGGAAAAAAAUGGUUGAGGCGUCGGACGAACUAGCAGAGAAUUUAGUCCACCGGACUACAGAAACACUACUCAAAUGAAGCAGGUCAUUGUACAAUUAAGUUCGAUGAUGGAUCAAUAACGAAGAUGUAUGAAAUCCUUUACUGAGGGAUGGACUUAGAGAUCGACUUCCAUAUUAUGCUUGCCCCAAAAAAUGAUGAUUUCCAACAUAGGAUGUACACGGUAGCAAAAUUUGACAGGCCCUAGAUCGGUUUGGGCUAGACAAAAUACGGCAGAAAACAAAAGAGAGACUGAACAUCCGAUUCAAGAUGAUCUGGAAACUACUGGCCAUGAUAGCAAAUAAACAUCGUAUUAUGAUGGAAAAUCAAGUGAGGAGAGCGAAAAUUAAGUGUCAAACUAUGUGGUCUCUGGAUUGAACAAGGGGAGAGGUUAAAAAAGGGAGAAGACAAAUCACCAGAACUUUCCUCCCCAAACUAGGCGCAAGAGCUGCUCCACCCAUUCCAUAAUGCGUGUUUGUUUCUCCACUCAUUCCCAUUGCCGGAGACAAUGUCCGUGGUUCCAACAUUGUGUCAUACUGCGGAGACAAACCGACACUAUCACCCGAUCCCGGUGCUGGAG